UACGUAGGGUCCGAGCGUUGUCCGGAGUUACUGGGCGUAAAGCGCGCGCAGGCGGUCCCGCGCGCCCGGCGUGAAAGCCCCCGGCUCAACCGGGGAGGGUCGUCGGGGACGGCGGGACUUGAGGGCGGUAGGGGCCGGUGGAAUCCCUGGUGUAGUGGUGAAAUGCGUAGAGAUCAGGGGGAACACCCGUGGCGAAGGCGGCCGGCUGGGCCGACCCUGACGCUGAGGCGCGAAGGCGUGGGGAGCGAACAGG
rnacentral:rRNA from 1 species